GAAUUUGAGGGCAAUCUGGCUGCAACAUCUGUCACCCCAUUGAUUGCCAGGGUUGAUUCAGCUGAUCUAGCUGGCUAGGCGGGUGUCCCCUUCCUCCCUUAAUGUUCCACGUGCAUCCCUCCCGAAGCUGUGCACUCGGUCGAAGAGGAUGACGUUUCCCGAUAGAGGAGGACCGGUCUUCAGUCAAGAGUAUACAAGCAGCUGUGUUCCCCUGCUAGAACCUCCAAACAAGCUGUCAAGAAAGAGAGGGUCUCACUCUCAUGUAGCCUAGGCUAAUCUCAAUCUUGCUUUAUAGCCAAGGCUGGCCUAAGACUCCUAAUCCUCCUGCCUCUUCCU
rnacentral:snRNA from 1 species